rnacentral:rRNA from 1 species
UACGUAGGGUGCAAGCGUUAAUCGGAAUUACUGGGCGUAAAGCGUGCGCAGGCGGUUUUGUAAGUUUGUCGUGAAAGCCCCGGGCUCAACCUGGGAAUUGCGAUGAAGACUGCAAGGCUUGAAUCUGGCAGAGGGGGGUAGAAUUCCACGUGUAGCAGUGAAAUGCGUAGAGAUGUGGAGGAACACCGAUGGCGAAGGCAAUCCCCUGGACCUGUACUGACGCUCCAUGCACGAAAGCGUGGGGAGCAAACAGG